AGAAGCACCAUCACCUUCCUUCUGUGUCCCUCCACAAAGCCAGUUGGGACUUCUAGAUAUUUUUGAAGGCAUAUUGAACUAGAUGGUGUUCUAGGGUACUAAUUUCAAGCUGUUGUUCUCCUAACCAUGCCACCAUAGCAGCAAUUUUAUUCUGAUGCAUAGAUUUGUAUAGAGAGGGUAAGAAAUUAUUCCAUGAAGUGAUCCCUUCUCAGAAUUUUAAAUAAGAAAUGGAAAAACUUUCUGUACUCUCAGAGUUUUCAUAAUUUCCCCUGGGGUAGGAGGGCAGGUGCAGAAGGGAACGGAACAAAGAUAAAGAAACAGCCACGUGGACGUGUGGUGGAAGAUCGUUUGAAGGAGGAGAAGAGCAAGUCAAAGGCCCUGAGGCAAGAGCACACUGGGCAUGUUCAAGGGGAUUCUGGGAGUUGGAAGAGGCCAACUUUUCCUACCUGCAGUUUGAAGAUUAAGGACUUAGAGAUUUGUUGAGAGGCUGCUUCCGAGAGGUUACUGAUACACUGAGGACAGGAACUACUGACUACUCUGAAUGAGGGAAAAACAUCCAGUUUGGGGUGAUCCUGUUUUGCAAUGGCAGCUGUCAGCCAUAACAUGGUGGGAAAUAACGGUAAAUAAACCUCCUGUGAUUGGCAAGAAUAUAAAAAAAGGUCGUGAAUUGUGAAUUCUUAGGUCUACUUGAGAGAAGACAUAUUUAGAAAAACAUCAAAUCAUUAAACAACCUGCUUUUGAAUAAAAUCUAAAUGAACCAAACUCUUUAGCAAAUGUCCAUUUUGAAAAUUUAGCUUUUUGGUUAAUUGUAUAUUUAUAAGUUAUAUUAGCUUCCUAUUCUGCUGUCACAAAUCACCACAAAGUGAGUGCCUUAAAAGAACACGAAUUUACUAUCUUAUAGUCUGAAGGUCAGAAGUCCAGAAUGGAUCUUACGGGGCUAGAAUCAAGGUGCUAGCAGGACUGGUUUCUUCAGGAAACUCUAGAAGAUAAUCUGUUUCUUGCUUUGUCCCACUUCCAAAGGCUACUGGCCUUGGUUUGUGGCCCCAUCACGCCCACCUCUGCUUCUUGUCAUUAUAUUACCUUGUCUUCUGAUUCUGACACCUCCUGUAUCCCUUUUAUAAGGACCCUUGUGAUUACAUCAGGCCCAACUGACUAAUCCAGAAUAAUCUCCCCACUCAAAAUCCUUAACACAUUUGCAAAGUCCCAUUUGUCAUGUAAAAUAACACUUAUGAUUCUAGGGUUUAGGAUGUGGGACAUCUUUGGGGAGCUCUUAUUCAGCCUAUGAAACAAGUCAACUCUUCCUUUUUUAGCCAUGUGGUUCUAAAUCUUUCUGAUUAAAUAAUUCAACUUUCCUGACUCAUGAAUUAAGUACUAUGUUGCAAAAUAUGGAGUCUUUUUUGUCAUCCAAGGAUUUCCAUUGCCCAGAGUGAUUAAUUUGAACAGUGAGUUUUCACUGUGGAGUAUUAAAGAUGCAAAUGGUGCAAAGCUGUGCUCUAACCAGGAAGGAAAAGCCUCCGAUGGCAGGGACAACCUCAGAAGAGAGUGGCCUAUGGCAGAGAGCUGCCUAGUGCUGUCUUCCAGUGGGAAGGAAAACUUGGGGCCCAGAAAGCAGGGCUGGGCUUGUCUGGGAGGGGUGUCAUCAUGGGGAGAUUCACUCUUGUAAAAUUUCCUCUCAGUUCCACCAAAGCACAUCCUAAGACAGACUGCAUCCAGAGUAAUCACAAGAUGUUAGGUGAGGCUUUAAAAAUCAUGAUGUCUAGGCCUCUCACUUUGCUGAUGAGGAAACUCAGUUCUGGAGAAGUGAGGAGACUUUCUCAGGGUUUCUAAGCAGGACUGGCAGAGCCAGGACUGGAACCCAGCUCUCCCACCUUGCCACACCAUGUUCUUUGCAUUCCAUGAUGGUACUGUCUACAUAAAAGAGGAACAUAUCAUUCAGCCAAGACCCAGGGACUCAAGAUUCUUAUAUUCUGAUCUUUGAUUAUGAAAGAUUAAAGAUUCAAAUUUCCUAUACCAUUUCCUUUAAGUACAUGCUGCAGUUUACCUAAAACUGUUCUGCUCACAGCCUGAAAGCAAGGGUCAGUCGUAUGGCCAGUGUCUCUUCCCUUCAGACUUAAUGAGGGUGGGAGGAUGGACACCUUCACUGUCCCAUUUUUGUUUUCUUUUGUAGUUAUUGCAGCUCAAGAGACCAAGGGAAUGCUGACUAUUUGACUUGGAGGUUUCAGGAGUCAAAUGUGCUUUGAUCAGUGUGAUACCUUAUCUCCAGACAUGCAGUUUCACACAAUCAUCAAAUUAAUUAUCAGGGAUUCCAGCUUUUCCUAUUGAAUCUUCACCAAAUUUUAGUGGCUCAAUCCCUGCAGGUUGCAAUGUCCAGCUCUUCAGCAGUGAGUAAAGACCAUCCAGUGGAGAAAGAAGGAAAAAUGUAGUUAGUGUUCUAAUUGAUAGAGCAUUUACUUCCUCUGGCCUGGUUCACCUAAACAUACUUGUAGUCAGAAACUCAUCACUCCCCUAACUAAUCCACAUAUCUAUUUGCCAGGCACCUUUUGUACAGCACUCUUAAAUCCCAAGAGCUUUUGUGAUGGGGAUGCUUUUUAAGGAAUCCGUCAAGAAUUGGAGAGGGGUCUUAAUGCUUCCAAAGUCAGCAGCCCAUUGUUGAAGACGAUUGAAGAGUCCCAUCCCACAUUCCUGACUUCCAUAUGCAUUCUGACAGUGACAUUAUUCAUGCCAAGGUGAGGUCAGUGGCCGCACACCCCCAGCCAUGGCAGUAGAGAGUGGCAUUAACUUUGAACUUCACCCUCCCAGCUCAGAGCCAGGGCUACCCUGAAAGCUGUAUCUCAGAAGGCUGCACAAAGCGGCAGGUGUUUAAAGAAGCAAAGAGGCAAAGCAUGUUGUUAGGAAAAAUUGUCCCCAAGCCCUGAAUUGGCCUUUUAUCACCAUCACUCUGGCUUAAAAACCCCUGUAAUGUGUGGCUUUCAAAAAGGGGGAGCUAAGUUUAGUGGCUGAUGCCCUGCCAAGAGCUUUAUAAUGCAUAGAAUAAAAAAAGAUGAAACGUUUCUCCAGCUACAUUGCUUUCCCCCCCCACCCUGAUUCCCUUCCCUGGGGGGAGAAUCAUAAACACAGACAGCAGAAUGACGCCCCUUUAUUAUUCCUCUGAGCUCUUUCUCUGCAGAUGACCUAUAGAAGUGAUUUAACAUAGAACUGUUGGAGUUCCCACACUUCCGCGUGUUCCUCCGGCCGAGGCUGGUUGAUUUCUUUGGGGUGUUAUAACUAUGACCUGCUCCAUUAAGUAGCAAACAAAGUCCAGCUGGAUAUAUCAAGCUCAGCUGGACUCUUUGCUUUCACACAACCUGCUUGAUUAGGAGAAUCGCUGUGCCCUUGUCACACGGCGCCUCGUGCAGUCUGCAAAGAUUGGGCUGCCAUUGAUUUCUGCAUAAUAUGGAUUCACACUGCCUUUCCACAACAGCGUGGCUUUCACACCCCACAAUAACCUGGCAAGGAUUGUUUUUUCUUUCCAAUCUUCUGCUGCUUCAGACUUACACUGGAGUUUAGUUCUAAAAAUUUGUCCCUCCUAGAGGUAAUGUGUGGCUUAUUACCCAGCACUUUACGACGCAUUAAUUGCAGCUUGAUUUAGACAUUUCCCAUUUGGUGACUUAGUUACAAUUGUACAAACAUGUCAUGCUCUAAGUCAAUAACGUGGGGGCAGAAAAAGAGCAAAACAACUGUGAAUGCCUUGUUCUUCUCAUGGGAAGGACCAGGGCAAUUGUUACAGUAACAUGAUGCUAUUUGUUUACUGGGAAGGGGUGUUUAUCUAGCUCCUUUCCUUAGAGUUGUUAUUCACCCUGGACCAGUUGUCUUCAGUAGCCUUACCUUUCAUUUCUACGCCUAUUUCCUUGUUAGAGAAAAACCCACAAAGCUUAAAAAUUAGUUCAGCAAGGUAGAGAAGUUUUAUUAAACACGCCAAGAUAUUUCACAUAAUAUGCCAAUCAAGGGGACAAAAUAUGGCAUUUGGUUAGCCAACUCUUACCUUGAUUCCAUUAUGAUUUUAAUUUAAGGCACCUUUCUUACAUGAUUAAGGAAGAAUGAGUCAGAGUCAUUUCAGUGUUAUGUACAUAGUGAUUAUUAGUGCCUAUAAUGAAAAAUUGAAAAAUAACAUAAACUACUGGAAUAUCCACUGUAGAAAUCCAACAAUGAAGUUGUAAUAAAUAAAUUAUGGCUUAUUCAUACUGUGGAACAAUAUUCAGUCAUUAAAAUGAUUUAAAAUUAUAUUUUAUUAGAUGUUAUAUUAUUUAGUGAGAAAAGU
rnacentral:lncRNA from 1 species